UGUAUAUACGCGGCACAAGUCGCUUUUAUGUUCAUCAAGCAUAAAAAAGUUUUAUAGUACAUACUAGUUUAAUAGUUAAAAGAAGCCGAUUUACAAUACUGUCAUGGAAAAUAAUAAAAACAGAACACGUUAAUGAGAACAGCAAAGAUAUUAAUAGCUGCAACAACAGCGACGUCAACAGCAAUAUAUACGAAGAAUAGAAGUGAAUGAUACAAUCAUAAAACACCACAAAAUAACAAUUACAAUAGCAACAACAACACCAACCGGAAAACGCACCGCCCUCUCUCGAAAGAAUAAUAAAAACCAAGCUAAGGUUUUGCUGCCUAAAAUCACAAUCUCUACGUUCUGUUGUUUCUAAUUAAUUCAGAACAACAGAUAUAACAUUAAACAUAGCAACAACAUCAACAACAACAAUAAUAACACUGUGUUGUUUGUAAAAUAAUCUGUGAGUGUAAUAUUUACCGCCUAGCUACACAGAUAUUAUCUAUAUAAAAGCGAUACAAAUUUUUUCUUAUUUAACGUUGGAUGAACAUAACUGAUGACAAAUCGUUCUGGAUACAACUUGGAGGGUUUUUUCGUUAUUUUCUUUGAAAACAGGCCUAAACUGGUGAGUUGUGUAACUUUUAAUUUUAUAUUAUGAUAUAUUUUAUUUCUUUGUCGUUGUUGUUCAUCUUCGGUAUAUUAUGGAAAAGAGAUGAAUAAUUUUCCUGAGAAAAAGCAUCUAUAUAUAUGACUUUGACAUUUAUAUGUGUAUAUAUAAACACACAUGUAUAUACACACAGCUGCACACAUAUGCAUAUCAUAUAUACAUAUUAACACACGUCACAUCAAUCAUCCACCAAUCUGUCUGUCUGCCUAUCUAUCUAUCUAUCUAUCUAUCUAUCUAUCUAUCUAUCUAUCUAUCUAUCUAUCUAUCUAUCUAUCUAUCUAUCUAUCUAUCUAUCUAACCAUCUCUCUCUGUCUAUCAGCCUAUAUCUCUGUAUAUAUGUAUCUACCUAUGUCUGUGUGUGUGUAUAUAUAUAUAUAUGUAUAUACAAGUAUAUAUGUAUAUAUUUAUAUAUGUAUAUGUAUAUAGAUAUAUAAAUAUAUAUGUCAAUGUAUAUAUAUAUAUAUAUAUAUAUCUUCUCUACAAUCUAUACUUAUACAUGCGAAUAUAUACAUACAUAUACGUCCAUAUAUACAGACAUUUGUAUAUGUAUAUUCAUAAGUGUGUAUGAGUAUAAGUUUGUAUGUAUAUACAAAUAUAUAUAUAUGACUAUAAUAAGUAUAUAUGUAUAAAAAUAAACUGUUCAUACAUAUAUACAUAUGUAUUUAGAUAUAUAUAUAUGUAUAUCGAUAAGUAUACAUAGGUGCAUGUACAAAAAUAUAUGUAUACAUAGUAUUCAUACACACAUACAUACAUACAUAUAUAUAUAUAUAUAUAUAUAUAUGUAUGUAUAUAUAUAUUUGUGUAAUCAGAUUACUAGAUAUAUAUAUAUAUAUAUGUAUGUAUAUAUAUAUUUGCGUAUAUAUUAUAUAUAUAUAUAUAUAUAUAUAUAUAUAUAUAUAUAUAUAUAUAUAUAUGUAUAUAUAUGUACACUUUAUAUAUAUAUAUAUAUAUAUAUACAGAUGUAUGUUGAUAUAGCAUAUAUGUCCUGUGAUAUAUAUAUUCAAUAUCCUGUGUAUACAGACAACAGCUCUGACGUUCAACCCUGCUCUGAGUUCAAAUUUCACUGCUUCAAAUUUCCAUUAAAUUAUUUCAGGGUCCAUAAAUUCCCAGCCUAGUUUGGUGAAACUUUUUGAGAUGUUAGAGCGUCUGACAUGAUCCUUUGUGGUAUUGGUUCAUGCUCUCCUCUCAUUCUCAGUUCGAAUACCGCUUCGAAUUCAUAUGUCAGUAAUGGCGGUGUCAUCGCUGCUCAUGCAAUGACAAAAGGUGUCAAGUUGGACCAGGACAGAUCAGUCUCUGUUUAAUCGAACUAGAGUUCGAAAACAGGGGCCUUCAGGACUAAGAACUGGGGAAGUGUAAGGUCUACUUGUUGCCAGUAUCUUGUUCUCAGGGCCAAAUAACCAAAUACACAAAGUGGAUGUUUAUCAGGUAACAGAUUUUGUAAAGAACUUUGACAGCGUCAAAAUACAGAUCACAACGAUGAUAUGUAUAUAUGUAUGUCAGUAUGUCAGUAUGUAUGUGCACAUACACACACAUACACACACAGAUACUAAUAAACACACACACACAUGUUUAUAAAACUAUGUAUCACACCUAUAUACGCAGCACGCGUAUACGGACACGCAUAUACAUCGGCGAGUGUAAGAUUGUGAAUGUAUUUUGGAUGUUUAAGUACACCUAUCUACCUCUUUUUUUACACAUACACAUACAUAAACAUAUAUGUAUGUAUGCUUAAAUAUAAAUACAUUAACACAUACACAUAUACAUACACACACACACACACAGACAUAUAUAUAUAUUUAUGGAUAUAAAUACACAUGCACACACAUACGCAAGUAUAUAUACAUUCAUGCAUCAGUUCAUGUGUAUGUUUAGUAGUGGGAAUGAGUGCGUACAAUAAAUCGGUUGAUGUUGAUAUGACUGAGUGGUAAUAAAGAAAUUCAAUUUGCAAUAUUGUGGAAGUCGCAGGUUCGAUCCCACUCCUGAAACAGCUAAGCAAAUGUAUGGUUAACAUGCCAUAAUAAAAGAGGUUGACGGAAUUUGUGGAAAUCGCUCGCAUGUUCUACAAGUGGAAGUGUGGGUUAUAUUACAGUAUCCAUCAUUCUCGUCCCUUAAUAGCAACUGUAAAAUGUACGGUUAAGUGUAGUAGGACAGGAGUGGCAUUUACAAUAUAUGUAAAUGAAUAGACAUUUUGGCUUUUGUGGUAAGAACUUUACUUCUAAACAACAAGGACGCAUGUUCGGGCCCACUGCGUAGCAUCUUGGAUAUAUGAAAUUUUGUAAGGCCUCGGGCCGGUUUGUGAAUGGAUUUCGUAUAUGUCUGUGUGUGUGUGCAUAUGUGCCUGUGAGAGGGAGAGAGAGAUUCUGUGCGUGUGAGUAUGUGUGUGUGUGUGUGUGUGUGUGUGUGUGUGUGUGUGUGUGUGUGUGUGUGUGUGUGUGUGUGUGUGUGUGUGUGUGUGUGUGUGUGUGUGUGUGUGUGUGUGAGUUUAUGUCCCCGUAACUCAGCAGUUCAGCAAAUACAUUUAACGAUUUAGAAAGAAAAAUGCACUGGAGUCGGUUCUUUCGACUAAAAUUCUUGAAGUUUACGCCCCAGCAUGGCCCCUGUCUGAUGACGAAAACAAGUAAAAGAUGAAAAAAGGAACACUGGAACAUCGGUCUUUGUGACUAUCAGACGUCCUACACAUACAUAUAUACAUACAUACAUACAUACAUACAUAUACGCACACAUACAUAUCUAUCUAUCUCUCUAUCUCUCUCUCUUUCUAUCUAUCUAUAAAUCUAUCUAUCUAUCUUCCUCUCUCUCUCUCUCUCUAUAUAUAUAUAUAUAUAUAUAUAUAUAUAUAUAAUACAUAUAUGUAUAUAUGUAUAUAUAUAUGUAUAUAAUAUAUAUAUAUUUCAUCAUUUACAUUAAUGACAUUAAUGACAUCAUCAAGCACAGCAACAUAAAAAUCUUUGCAGAUGACUCCAAGCUACAGAAGGUCAUAAAUGAGGCGAGUGACCGGACAUGCCUUCAGUCAGAUCUACUGGCUGUUAUCCAAUGGGCAGAAAAAAACAAUAUGCUGCUGAACGAGGAUAAAUUUGAGCUAAUCCACUUUGGAAAAGAGGAUGCCCUGAAACUCCCAUACUCCCUUCCUUCAGGUGAAACUCUCACGGCGUCCAACAACAUCAGAGACUUGGGAGUAAUUGUGGACAACAACGUAAGCUGGGCCACUCAUAUAAACACCAAAGUUGACAUGGCCCGCAGAAUGUGUUCCUGGAUUCUCAGAACUUUCCAGUCGAGAGAUAUCCACACCAUUAUCCUUCUCUUCUCCACUUUUGCCCGACCCCACCUUGAAUACUGUUGUCCACUGUGGUCUCCCCACACAAUACAAGGUAUCAUAAAAGUCGAAGCACCUCAAAGGGCAAUCACAAAAAAGAUAGAUGGCAUGACAGGCCUCGACUAUUGGGGUCGACUAGAAAAGCUAAAACUCUAUUCUCUCCAACGUCGUCGUGAGCGCUACAUCAUCUGCAUGAUGUGGAAAAUAUUCCAUCAGCAUUGCCCAAAUGAUGUUGGCAUCACCUUUAAGGUACAUCCAAGGCUUGGGCCCCGUGCCAUCCGCCCAAAACAAAAAUCGCACUCUCAUCUCAUAACAACAAUACGGCACAAUUAUUUCACCUCAAUUGGCCCCGCUCUCUUUAACAUUACACCAAAACACAUUAAAACAGAAACUGACCCUAUAGGGUACAAGAAGUCUUUGGACAGAUUCCUUCAAGAAAUCCCGGAUAAACCCCCUACACCCGGAUAUGUCUCUGUAAACAAUAACUCUCUACUUGAGUGGGCCAUAGUGCCCAAAUUCUGACUUGAAAGACUUCACCAGGUGGUGCUAUUAAGUUAGACAUGGCCUGGGCCAAUAAUGGCCGAAACCUAUCAAAGUAUCAAAGUAUCAAAGUAUCAAAGUAUAUAUAUAUAUAUAUAUAUAUAUAUAUAUAUAUAUGUAUGUAUGUAUGUAUGUAUGUAUCUUUACAUAUUUGUGAAGUGUCAUGUUACGGAAGAAUCGGGUUUGCAUCUUUUUACAACUUCUAUCGAUGACAAAAUAAAUAUAUACAAAUUAUAACUUUUUGGUACAACUAAACCUAUAUAUGUAUGUAUAUACAUAUAUAUAUAUAUAUAUAUAUAUAUAUAUAUAUAUAUAUAUAUAUAUAUAUAUAUAUAUAUAUACAUACAUAUAUAUAUAUAUAUAUGUAUGUAUAUAUAUAUAUAUAUAUAUAUAUAUAUAUAUAUAUAUAUAUAUACAUACACAGCUCUAAUCAGUAUCAGGGGUAUUAAUUAGAACUAUUAAAAUGGAUUCGUUACAACGUGUUCACGUGCAUAAAAUUCCACUCUGUCCACCUAUGCAUCCAGACACACAAACACACACGUUCACACACGUACACACACACACAUGCACACACACAGAUAUGCACAUAUAUACAUACAUACAUACAUACAUACAUAUAUAUAUAGAGAGCGAGAUAGAUAGACAGAUAGAUAGAUAGAUAGAUAGAUAGAUAGAUAGAUAGAUAGAUAGAUAGAUAGAUAGAUAGAUAGAUAGAUAGAUAGAUAGAUAGAUAGAUGAGCAUGAGGCACAUGAGUGGUUGUGUCGUGAGUAGUUUGCUUACCAACUAAUUGGUCGCGGGUUCAGUUCCACCGCGUGGCACCUUUGGCAAGUGUCUUCUACUAUAGCCUCAGGCCGACCAAAGCCUUGUGAGUGAAUUUGGUAGACGAAAACUGGAAGGAGCUUUUCUUAUAUAUAUAUAUAUAUAUAUAUAUAUAUGUGUGUGUAUAUAUAUAUUUGUGUGCAUAUGUUUGCGUGUCUGUGCUUGUCCCCCAUCCAACAUUGCUUGACAAUUGAUGCUGGUGUGUUUACGUCUCCGUAACUUAGCGGUUCGACAUAAGAGACGGAUAGAAUAAGUACUAGGCUUACAAAGUAUAAGCUCUGGGGUCGAUUUGCUCGAGUAAAGGCGGUGCUCCAGCAUGGGCGUAGUCAAAAUGACUGGAACAAGUAAAAGAGAGUAAAAGAGAGUAUACGUAUAUAGAUACAUAUGUACACAAAUAUGUAUAUAUGGCUGCGUAAGUGUAUGUAUACAUACAUACAUACAUACAUACAUACAUACAUACAUACAUACAUACAUACAUACAUAGCUGAGACCCCCUUCGGUCAAGUCUGACCAUGAAAUUGCACCUAGGAAGUUACCCUCCCAGGCACAAGUCCGGACAAGGUUGUUUAUGGAAGACCGUCAGUCACCCAUGCAUACCGGCCUCCCCUUCUGCACGCCACCAGUGUUAUCCAAAGGAAAGGCAAGGGCUGAUACAGCUUGGUACCUGUGACAUCGCAACUCAUUUCUACAGCUGAGUGAACUGGAGCAACGUGAAAUAAAGUGUCUUGCUCAAGAACACAAUAAGCAGCCCGGUCCGGGAUUCGAACUCACAACCUCGCGAUCGUAAGUUCGACGCUCUAACACACACACACACACACACACACACCCACACACACACACACACACACACACAUAUACAUACAUACAUACAUAUAUAUAUAUAUAUAUAUAUAUAUAUAUAUAUAUAUAUAUAUAUGUAUAUAUAUGUAUAUAUAUAUAUAUCAUAUAUAUAUACAUGUAUGUCUUUGUAUAAUUAUACAUGUAAGUCUCUCUCUCUCUCUCUCUCUCUCUCUCUCUAUAUAUAUAUAUAUAUAUAUAUAUAUAUAUAUAUAUAUGGCUGUGUAUGUGUGCGCGCGUAUGUGCAGAUAUCUAUCAGUCUAUCAAUCAAAUUAUGUAUGUAUACAAACUCAUGCAAUAUUAUGUACGAUUGGUUUUCGAUUAGAAUAAACUGCCGGGUAAAAUUAAAUGAAGUUGCAGUCUGCGUAAUAGACACGCUGUAUGUUUUCCGUUCUACAUACAUUACUAUAGUUUAAAAGCCAUGACAGCGCAUUCGAAAGCACAAAUGAUCACUAACGCUGCCAUAACAGUAUGAGAUGGUCACGGCCGGAACGCACUUGUAUUUCUGCUUAGUCAAUAAUGGACUGCAACAACAACAACAGUCACAAUAUUGGUGUUUUAAAGCUUGUUGCUUCGUAACAAUCAUUAUUUCUCUCUUUCUGUCGUUCUGUCAGUGUCUCUCUCUCUCUCUCUGCCGCUCUCUUUCUGUCUUCCCUCUCUGUCGGUCUCUCUUUCUCUCUGGCAGCCUCUCUCGCUCGCUCUCUGUCUCCCGGUCUCAGUCUCCCUUUAUUGUCUGUGUAUUUUUAUAAGUACAUGCGUGUGCAUGUGUGUUUGUAUACAUCAUCAUUCUAUUUUUGAGUCAUGUACAUUCACGUGUGUAUAUGUGUAUCCGUAUACGUGUUUAUAUAUUCAUGGAUGUGGUUACCUAUCUAUCUAUUUAUCUCUCUCUCUCUCUCUCUCUCUCUCUCUCUCUCUCUCUCUCUAUAUAUAUAUAUAUAUAUAUAUAUAUAUCUGUCUGUCUGCAUGUCUGUCUCUUGGUGUCGUCUGCCAUUUUCUCUAUCAGUAUAUAUAUAUGCAUAUAUAUAUGUGUGUGUGUGUAUAUAUAUAUGUAUACAUAUAUAUGUAUAUAUAUAGAUGUAUAUGUAUAUAUGUAUAUAUAUAUAUGCAUAUAUAAGUGUAUAUAUUUAUAUAUAUACAUACAUAUACAUACACCCACAAAUAUACACACACACACAAAUAAUAUGCAUACACCAAUAAUGUCUAUAAUUGAUAUGUAACAAUGUAAUAAUUCUAAACAAUUCGUGCGUUAUUAUUGUUGCUUUCGUGUAUCAUAUAAUACCUUUAUGAUAAAAGACAUAAUAAGCGUGACAAUUCAUUUUAUCUAUCUAUCUAUCUAUCUAU
rnacentral:lncRNA from 1 species